ensembl:snRNA U2 U2 spliceosomal RNA
CUAUCUGUUCUGUGUAGUCUGUCUGUGUAGUAUCUGUUAUUAUCAGUUUAAUAUCUGAUACGUCCGCUAUAUGAGGACUACAUAUUAAAUGGAUUUUUAGAACAGGGAGACGGAAGAGGGGCUCGCUCCAUCCGCUCCACGCAUCGACCUGGUAUUGCAGUACCUCCGGUUUGAGGGCAGUCAUG